GCCCGCCUAGCUCAAUCGGAUAGAGCGUCAGACUCUUAAGAACCUAGGCAAUCUGAAGGCUGCGAGUUCGACCCUCGCGGUGGGCU